UACGGAGGGUGCAAGCGUUAAUCGGAAUUACUGGGCGUAAAGCGUGCGCAGGCGGUUGUGCAAGACCGAUGUGAAAUCCCCGGGCUUAACCUGGGAAUGGCAUUGGUGACUGUACGGCUAGAGUGUGUCAGAGGGGGGUAGAAUUCCACGUGUAGCAGUGAAAUGCGUAGAGAUGUGGAGGAAUACCGAUGGCGAAGGCAGCCCCCUGGGAUGACACUGACGCUCAUGCACGAAAGCGUGGGGAGCAAACAGG
rnacentral:rRNA from 1 species